ACUUCAGCCUUCAGUAAACCAUGUAGAGGUGUAUCUAACCUUCAGCCUUCAGUAAACCAUGUAGAGGUGUAUCUAACCUUCAGCCUUCAGUAAACCAUGUAGAGGUGUAUCAAUUAAUAUUGGACUUUCAUCUCUCAUCCAUUUUCAAAUUUUUUUAUAACUUUCCACUCCUCAUCUUAAUCAAAUGAUGAUAUUGUUUUAUCAUAUUUUAGAUAAUAAAUUGACCACCAAUGUAUUUUUUGCCCUUUAAUCAUAUAUAUUUUAUAUUUCAUUUGGUCAAUUUUACCCUAAUCUAUGAUCAGUAUUUCCAAUUAUGUACAUGUAUUUGCAAGUUUCAAUGAAUUGGCGCACCAACAGUUUUCGCUGUAGAAAAAGUAUAUAGGAACUAUUCCUAUAUACUAUAUUUGUACAAUGCUUCAAGAGUGAAAAUAAUAUCAAUUACCACCAAAAUAUGUAUUUUACAAUAUAAGUAAGCACUUUGCAGGUCCCAUUUUCAAUAACGUUCCUCAAAUAAAAGAAAAUCUUAAUUUAAGAUGUCCAUAGAAAUGCGAAAUAUGUGAUGCUUUCCUAUAGAAAAUUUAAAGUGAAGGAAUUUCCUCAAGUUGACAAAGGGAAGUGUGUGUACAUACACAAUACUAAUUGAUGUUUUACUGAAUUUCUCUACACCUGUACUAUUGACGGUCUGCUCCAAGUGUGUUGACGUGUGGUAAAAUUACAACUGUUUAACACAAAAACAGGAAAUGUAUAUUAUAUAUCACAUUAAUUUGUUAACGUGGAAUAAUUUUAUGGUAAGCUGUUGAAAUAUUUUCAUAUCGUUUUAUUCAAAUAUAUUAAAAGCCAAAGAUGUAUCAAGCAUUUUUUGCUCUGUUCAGGUCAGAUUGGCCUAAUAGUGAUGCAUCAUCCAUUGUCAGAUUUUAGAGAGAAAAAACUUGUCGCCAGUUUAUUAGCUGGCACCUUGCUCGACGGAUGUGGGACGGAUACACUGGUAUUGGUUGACCACUACCAUUUGCAGUACAUGUUGAUUUGUUUUCAUGAAGUUUCAUUUUGUAUGCAAGUUAUUUUCAUGGGGAUAUUAUAUUAAAUGAAUAAGUCAAAUAAACAAUGCGUGAUAGAG